rnacentral:rRNA from 1 species
UGGGGAAUAUUGCACAAUGGGCGAAAGCCUGAUGCAGCGACGCCGCGUGCGGGAUGAAGGCCUUCGGGUUGUAAACCGCUUUUGAUUGGGAGCAAGCGAGAGUGAGUGUACCUUUCGAAUAAGCACCGGCUAACUACGUGCCGGCAGCCGCGGUAAUACGUAGGGUGCAAGCGUUAUCCGGAAUUAUUGGGCGUAAAGAGCUCGUAGGCGGUUUGUCGCGUCUGGUGUGAAAGUCCAUCGCUUAACGGUGGAUCUGCGCCGGGUACGGGCAGGCUAGAGCGCGACAGGGGAGACUGGAAUUCCCGGUGUAACGGUGGAAUGUGUAGAUAUCGGGAAGAACGCCAAUGGCGAAGGCAGGUCUCUGGGUCGUCACUGACGCUGAGGAGCGAAAGCGUGGGGAGCGAACAGGAUUAGAUACCCUGGUAGUCCACGCCGUAAACGGUGGAUGCUGGAUGUGGGGCCCAUUCCACGGGUU